rnacentral:rRNA from 1 species
UACGAAGGGUGCAAGCGUUACUCGGAAUUACUGGGCGUAAAGCGUGCGUAGGUGGUGGUUUAAGUCUGUCGUGAAAGCCCUGGGCUCAACCUGGGAAUUGCGAUGGAUACUGGAUCACUAGAGUGUGGUAGAGGGAUGCGGAAUCUCCGGUGUAGCAGUGAAAUGCGUAGAGAUCGGAAGGAACAUCUGUGGCGAAGGCGGCAUCCUGGGCCAACACUGACACUGAGGCACGAAAGCGUGGGGAGCAAACAGG